AUGGGCGAACAAAAUGGGGUUACUUUGAGCCAAGCCAAAGGCACAAACGCGCAGAGUCAAGAAAGAGAGAGGAAGAACCAGAUUUGCGCACGAGAGAGAGAGAAGAGAAGAGAAGCGGGGGAUUUGGAUUUUGGAGCGGGAGACUCUUACCGGCGGGAGGGCGGCGGCGGCGGCGGCGGAGGCGAGACGGAGGGUUUUGAAGGAGCGGCGGCGAGUAGGACAAGGGAGAUGUGGAUGAGGAGCAGGGGAAGAGGCGGCAGUCAGCUCGAGCAGCAACGCGCGCACAUCUCGCGAGGAUGCAAAAGAGGAAGACGAGAUGAGAGCGGCCGCUCCCCCCUCUUUCCUAUCCUCCCCCACAGGCUCACACACUCUCUCUCUCUCACUCUAGCUGCGGCUGCGUGCCUUUCUCUCUCUACCACGGCAGCCCCAUGCUAUGGCUAUGGCUACGCGAGCGAGCGACGCGCCCCCACCGCAAACCAAUAA
rnacentral:rRNA from 1 species